UCGAGCUUGCCAGAGUCCCUUCAGAGAUGA
rnacentral:piRNA from 1 species